AUCGCUUCUCGGCCUUUUGGCUAAGAUCAAGUGUAGUAAGACAUGAAUCAUGAAUUUUGAUAAACAGAAUUUUUAAAGAUCUCCU
ensembl:snRNA U2 U2 spliceosomal RNA